AAAAUUGUAAAAACAAUUAAAUCCAUGUAUGUUUGACAGAGUGAUUUAAGAAAAAUAAAAUUCAAUUAUACCUGUAACUCAAAACAAUCCUGACUUCCAGGUAAAGUCUGAAAGAACAGAAAAUCAGCAAAAAAAAAAAAAAAACUGCAUUGUGUAGAUGCUCUAGAACCAUAAAAGACCAAAACGCUAUUUUGAACAUCAAACCCAUCUGUACCUUGACCUUUCUCCUCUGCAGAGCUUCCAGAUUUUGUUUCAUAUAGAUGUUUAGUGUUCAAUAACCUGACAUUUUGAAAGAACGCAUGACUAGUUCUCUACGGUCCUGCAGGUCUGAUCCAGGAGAUUUUUGUUCCAGUCAUACUGUGAUGCACCUCAUCCAUUGACAGACAACUGUAUACAUUUAAACCUGUGAGCUGCAGGGAGACCUGGAAACCCUGUUGUUUACAGUCCUCCAAGACCACAGGCGAACAGAUCUGCUUCAGAACAAAAAAACAAAUUCAAAAAACCUGAAGAUUCAUUACCACCUGCUUUUCAUAGUGGUUAAAGUGAGACAAAAUUUAUUACAGACUGAAUAAAUGUAAGCAACUGUUCCAUGUAGAAUUGUUCUGAUUGGAUAAUAGUGGACACACCCCUGACCCACCCACUUAAAGUGAAACACUUUAGUUAAAGACACAGAACAGCAGGGAGGGUGACAGAAGAAGAAAAGUCAAUCCAGUGGAAAGAUGGUUUUUGGGUCUACUGUCCUUCUGUUCUCACUUGUUCUGUUCGUACAGGGAGAGAGAAGACUUGUUCAGGAUCUAGACUAUGUGAGGAAGAAACCAGAUAAAACAGUGUACAUCCCCUGCAAACCUUCUGGGCUGAGCUCGGGUGACUACGUCCACUGGUACCAGAAGAAAGAAGGUCAACCUUUCAAAAGGAUCCUCUACAUUAGCUACGGGAGUAAAAGCCUUGCACGUGAUGAAAAUCAUCCACAAAAAGAUGAUUUUUCAGCCAGAGAGUUUGACUUGCACAUCAGUGAAACCAAACUGGACCACACUGCCACGUAUUACUGCGCCUGCUGGGAUUCCCACAGUGGCAAAGAAAGCAGGUGUCGCUAUAGAAAAACAUCAAAACCCUCUAGAGCAUGAGUUAUAAACCAUUUUCAGACCACAGACCUCUAAGAAUCUAAUCAGAACUAGUAACUUCUCUUUUUUUAUCCCCUCAAAAAGCCCAUAAAUUCACAGAAAAUAUUGCACUGAGUUAUUCCAUUCAAAAAUGAUCCCUCAAGCAGAACUGUGGCAGAAUGUAACGGCUUUCUUUUUUAACUUGUACUUCAUACGAAGGCAUAAUUUCAUUAAAAAAAAAAUCUGCACCUGAAGGACUGACUGAAGCCCAUCCAUGGAUCCCAGAUUUAGUAGAUUAAAAUAAAAUUGGACUUCAUUAGAGGAUGCUUGGCCA
rnacentral:lncRNA from 1 species